AGGAGGCUCCUAAGGUGAUGAUUGAAGGAGACUCGAACCCACAGUGGAGCCAGAUGAGCAUGUGAGUCCUCUGCAGAGAAAUAGAUAAGCAGAUCUCACUGCCGGAACCGGGAGGGCUUUGAAGGUAAAGAUGAGGAGGAAAUCAAGAUUCUUGCUGUUAGAGAGACGCAGAUACCAAGUGAGUUUGCCGAGUGGUUGUUAAAUAAACUGAGAAGACAGUAGGUGACCUGGAAGGGUCUUACUCAGUAAUCCAGCCUGCCCUGGAACCUAUCAUUUAGGCCUAACUGGAUGCAACCUGGAUGCCUCAAUCUCCUGAGUACAGGGCUUACGGAUGGCACGCGGACGAAGAAGCAUUCUUCUGAGGAACUGGCAUUCCACCCAAACACGCCGCGCCUAGUUCCUUGCCUCAGAGUUGCUGACUCCCACUUCCUGGGACCAGUAAGAGUCCCAGAGUUGCAGAGCCAUUUGGCAGCUUGAGAUAGAAGAGGCUUUGAAGGAGGCCUUUAUUUCCUCUCCUCCCUGCCUCUGGAGGGAGGCUCUCAACUCUCACUGCCUGAUAGGGAAGGGCACUGCUCUGCAUCUUCCCAGGAACACCUCACAUCAACACACAUCCAGCAAGAACACUGGGAGCUGGCCAUUGUCAGUUCCUCUGACACAGGGCCCAACUCCGAUGACUCAGCUGCUUCUCAGGAAACCCAUGGGCUUGGGCUUGCCUUCCUAAUUUUUUAUUUUUAUAUCAGCCCAGGUUGGCUUUGAACUCCUGAUCCUUACUAUGUCUUUGCUUCCUGGGUACUGAAAUUAGAGACAAUAAAUACAACUGUACCCAGCA